AGAAGUCGCGUAUCUUUUAGACCGAGCUGCUCAUAGCAGAUCUGUUGGGAAAACUCAAAUGAACGAACAAUCGUCGAGAAGUCAUUUUGUUUUCACCAUGCGAAUAACCGGUGUUAAUGAGAGCACCGAACAACAAGGUGUCUUGAACCUAAUCGAUCUUGC